CGGGAUGUAGCGCAGUGGGAGCGCGCCUGCACGGGACGCAGGAGGUCGCCGGUUCGAUUCCGGCCAUCCCGACUAUCGAGAUGAGGCGCAGUGGUCGCGCACCGGUUUCGGAAACCGGGGGUCGCCGGUUCGAGUCCGGUCAUCUCGA
rnacentral:tRNA from 1 species